rnacentral:rRNA from 1 species
UACGUAGGGUGCAGGCGUUAAUCGGAAUUACUGGGCGUAAAGCGUGCGCAGGCGGUUUCUUAAGUCAGAUGUGAAAGCUCCGGGCUCAACCCGGAAAUUGCUCUGCAUACUGGCAGGCUGGAGGGACGCAGAGGUCUGUGGAAUUCCUGGUGUAACGGUGAAAUGUGUUGAUAUCAGGAGGAACACCCAUGGCGAAGGCAGCAGACUGGGCGUUUCCUGACGCUGAGGCGCGAAAGCGUGGGUAGCAAACAGG